UAUGGGCUGGUCGAACAUCGUGAUUGG
rnacentral:sRNA from 1 species